AACAAAGCAUUUUUGAUAUUGAGGAUUUACAUAGCCGACCCCAACUAGCUUGGGAUUGAGGCAUAGUUGUCGUUAUUGUUAAUAGCAAUGUCAACGUAGCUUCACCUGUUGUUUUAUAAUCUUAAUUUUUCCUUGGCUAAAAUUAAGAUCUUUCAAACCCAAAUCUUCAUCUAUCUAAAGACAUUUUUGUCCAUCUCCACCUUACUCUAAAUAUGUUAUCCUUUCUGCUACUACCACUGAUUUUCAGCUUAUAGAGGAAAGACUUCUACAUUAGCCUUAUAUCCUUUUAUUAUUUUCAAUAUUUCCAUGAAUAAGCAAAAGAAUUAAGGAACAUAAUGAGAAAUUUUAAGUAAAGAGCAAGGACAUGGACUUGCAGCUCUUGAAAGGUUGAUUUCAUUACAUUCAUCCACUAAUCAAGAACAUAAAUAGUUAAAAUGCACUACAACCUCUUAUGCAUCACGCUCUAUCUAGGUCCAUUCAAUUCCAAGCAACUUCAAAUCUCAGCUAGAAUGAAGCAACAACAGAGUUCUGAACCUAAAUAAAGAGAGCAAGGUAAACCUUGUGUGUUAAGUUAGUGUUGCUUAACUCAAACACUCUUUUGCAAGUUGGUCCAAUAGCUUGCCUUUAUCAAAUGUGACUUCCUCUCUUUCCUCAAAAUUUAUUGUGUGAAUCAUUAUAUAUUUUGUUUACUCUCGAACUUUCUUCAUAUAUGAUGUGCCUAUAUUUACGUAACAACCAAGAAAUAAGAAAAAGAAUAUAAUAAAUACACAAAAUUGGAAGGUUUAAAACAUACCACCUGUAGCAGAAUCAACAUCCACAGCUUGUCUCUAACACGGUCAUCCUUGCCAACUUCUUCCUGUGCAGAAAUUGCCGGAAUGAUAUGUGAAAAUGUAGAAACACUAUGUAGAAUUGCAAAUAUUGCCAAAACACUAUGCAGAAAUGCAGAAAAAUUGUGUAGAAAUGAAAAAAAUAGCAAAAUGUUGAAAAAAUGCAAAAAAUACAGGAAAACCUGUACAGAAAUGCAAAAUAUAUAGUUUAGAAAUGCAAAAAUUUCUAAAAUGUAGAGAGAAAAUCAAGAAAUAAUAUGCAGAAAAUAUACUGUUCAAAAAAGCAGAAAUAAUGUGUAGAAAUGCCGAAAUACUAUGCAGAAAAUGUAAAAACACUAUGCAUAUUCACAAAAACAAUGAGCAGAAUCGCAGAAAUUGCCGGAACACUUCGCAAAAAUACAGAGAAUGCAGAAAAAUUGUGCAAAAAUGCAAUAACGCUGUGCAAAAUACAAAAACUACAAUUUAUGAGUUGACAUAUAGCAUAACAAUUAAAAGCAUAUAACGCAACUAGUUUUCAAGGAAGAAUAUCCCGAACUAACCUUCGCAAAGGAUAUAAAAUUGUAGGCCAGUUUGCAUGUUAUGAAAUCUUAGGUCACUUUGCACGUCAUAAAAUGUUAUGCCACUUCUCCGAACUAAGAUUAUUAUGCUAACACUUCUUUUUUUAAUUUCCUAAUUAACAACAACAACUACCCAGCAUAAUCCAACAAUGGGGGCUUAAUUUCAUAAUUGUAAAAAUAAUUUAAUCUUCAUAACAAAAGUUAAACCAGGAGCUGAAUUUAUUAGACUACCGGCGACCAACAGAACGUUAUGUGCUUCUUUGGAUCAUUAAAAACCUAAAAUAUGGCAGAGACUUGACUAAAUUAUGAUGAAUCAGAUUUUGCAACCCUACAACGCUGACCAAUGAUUGCUAAAAAGGCUAAACUGCCAGGCUAGAACUGUUAACUUACCUAUAAUAGCCAAGACACGAUUUAUAAAUAAAUGCUAGUGUAAGUACAUACCUGAAUCCGCUAUAAAAGAUAUUUUUUUUCCAAUAAAGAUGAUCUUAUCAAAAUGAGAUUUGAGCAUAUCCUCUUCCAUUGGCCCCUGCAAAUGCUAAAACAGCUGUCUAGCACUUCUCUGCAUGUGUUGAUUCAAACUGAUUUAGGAAAAGCUUUGAGCUCAAGGGAACAACAGAAAACCCCAUCCUAUGAUGCCAUUGAUGUGAAUUAAAAAAAUACCCAUGGAAUAAUCGGUUGAUUUAACACUUGAAAACCCUAAUACAAAGAACAAUCAAAGACACAAAGCCUAAUGAAGAGGACUUUUGGAAAAUCAAUCGAAGAUCACUAUCAACAAACAAUUCCAACAAACAAAUAGUACAAUUUUCAUAUUUUGGCAGUUUUGUUGAGUAUCAAUAACUCCAUUUAAUUUUCAAUAGAAACUAAUCAAAUAAGUUCUUAAUUAGGCUUAGACUUGAAGUCCAAUUCAAGAAAUAACGACACAUCAACAAAAUAUCCAGAAGAAUCAAAGGGGUUUAAGCAGUAGAUAAAUAUGUAAAGAAGUAAAAUAAUUUUAAUUAAGAAAUCAUACCUUUUGAAUGCUGAAAUUUCUCUUUCUUAGAUGUAGGUAUUGGAUCAAUGGAGAAGAAAAUUCCAGUCGGUGCUGGAUUUGGUAGCAGUGGAACCAGUGGCGUGGUGAUGGCCCAGAUGGAGAUUUAUGGGCCAAUACUAAAUAGAGGGGUAGAAUGAAAAUUUGAGAAAGUAUUAAUUUCUUUUGCCUUUGAAAGUAGGGAAAACUUUCACUCAAUCAAAUAAUGGAGGGAAUUUUUGGAUGAAUUUUUUAUUUUUAUUUUAGAGCACACUUGUUAA
rnacentral:lncRNA from 1 species